rnacentral:lncRNA from 1 species
GAGCUUUGUUCUUAAUAUGUCUGAACUGAAACUGUUAAGGCUAUGAUGCAUAAGCUGAGCCUGUGAGGUUACAUAUGUGUUUCUUGUGCUUAAAACACUUGUACAUCAUGCUUUAAAGGUUGUUUAAGUUUAGUGGAAAAUUACUCUUGUACAUCAUGCUUUAAAGCGGGGUUACAUAACACAAUAGACUGUGAUGAUGAUUGUAUUUUGAGGGUACAUAGAAGAUCCGAGUAGCAUCUUGGCGGGGCAAUAUCCAGGUUGCAAAGUUCUCACUUUGCAACCGUGUGUUGCAGCCAUGGCUUUACCCGUAGUUGUGUUCAUCUCUCAAUUACAUGUCUGAGUCUUUCAUGUUUGAGGCUAUGAUGCAUAAGCUGAGUCUGUCAGGUUACAUAUUUGUUUCUUGUGCUUAAAACACGUGUACAUCAUGCUUUAAAGGUUGUUUAAGUUUAGUGGCAAAUUACUCUUGUUGUGUACUCCGGAUUUUGUGUUCUUAAUCUGUCUGAACUGAAAGUGUUUGAGGCUGUGAUGCGAAAGCUGAGCUUGUGUUCUUAAUCUGUCUGAACUAAAAGUGUUGAGUCUAUGAUGCAUAAGCUGAGCUUGUGUUCUUAAUCUGUCUGAAGUAAAAGUGUUUUGAGGCUGUGAUGCAAAAACUGAGCCUGUGUAAUCUAUCUGAACUGAAAGUGUUUGAGGCUGUGAUGCAAAAACUGAGCCUGU